rnacentral:rRNA from 1 species
AUUGAACGCUGGCGGCAGGCUUAACACAUGCAAGUCGAGCGGAGCGAGGGUGCUUGCACCUUAGCUUAGCGGCGGACGGGUGAGUAAUGCUUAGGAAUCUGCCUAUUAGUGGGGGACAACAUUCCGAAAGGGAUGCUAAUACCGCAUACGCCCUACGGGGGAAAGCAGGGGAUCUUCGGACCUUGCGCUAAUAGAUGAGCCUAAGUCGGAUUAGCUAGUUGGUGGGGUAAAGGCCUACCAAGGCGACGAUCUGUAGCGGGUCUGAGAGGAUGAUCCGCCACACUGGGACUGAGACACGGCCCAGACUCCUACGGGAGGCAGCAGUGGGGAAUAUUGGACAAUGGGCGGAAGCCUGAUCCAGCCAUGCCGCGUGUGUGAAGAAGGCCUUUUGGUUGUAAAGCACUUUAAGCGAGGAGGAGGCUACUAGUAUUAAUACUACUGGAUAGUGGACGUUACUCGCAGAAUAAGCACCGGCUAACUCUGUGCCAGCCGCCGCCGCAGU